GCCACACCUGAGAUGAAUUAAUCAGCAUCUCUCAGGCUUGAACCCAGGCCUCACAUGGUUCCUCAGACUCCCUAGGUGGUUCCAAUGUGCAUCUGAGUUUGAGAACCACAAGACCCAUCAGCUUUAUAAGGUAAAGGUAAAGCAAGAAUAAGCUUGAAUGCCCUGCCCAUUCUCCAAGGACCCCGUGGAGGAAAGAAGUGGAGAGUCACCUGCUGAAGUGAGGAGCAAGGAACUGCUGUUUUCACCCCUGCGGGGAAGAUAUGGGAGUUUUCUCCUGCUCUUAAAAGUUUUUAAAUUAUAUAAAUCAUUGUACUUCAAUGACAGAAGGUGAACAAACAGAGCUUACAUCAAGUGAAGACUUUAACGUUUCUGACAUGUUGAUAACUUCAUUUAAGUCACACUACCAAUACUUAGAGGCUCCUUGGUGGAAGAGAGGAACAGCAGGAGGCAACCAGAACUAUCAAGCAUCACAGACUGCAUGCAGCUUCUCAUCCUUUUUCAGAGCACAGUAUCAACAUUUAUUUUUGUACAAGUUUCAACUGGCUGCUGAGAACAGGGAAAUAGCUGUAUAACCCAGGAGUUUUACUCACCACAGAACUCAGUCCCUAGAACUGCAGGACACUUCAUAUGCCAGGUGGGUAAAAUGCCUCUUGAAAUUCUUAGGAGUUUG
rnacentral:lncRNA from 1 species